rnacentral:tRNA from 1 species
UCCCUCAUAGCUCAGUCGGUAAAGAAUCUGCCUGCAAUGCAGGAGACCUGGGUUUGAUUCCUGGGUCGGGAA